rnacentral:rRNA from 1 species
GGGCCCGCACAAGCGGUGGAGCAUGUGGUUUAAUUCGAUGAUACGCGAGGAACCUUACCAAGGCUUAAAUGUAGGAGGACAGGCUGUGAAAACAGCCCUUCUUCGGACUUCCUACAAGGUGCUGCAUGGUUGUCGUCAGCUCGUGCCGUGAGGUGUCGGGUUAAGUCCCAUAACGAGCGCAACCCCUAUCUUUAGUUGCCAGCGGUUCGGCCGGGGACUCUAAAGAAACUGCCCGCGCAAGCGGUGAGGAAGGUGGGGAUGACGUCAAAUCAUCACGGCCCUUACGUCUUGGGCUACACACGUGCUACAAUGGUAGUGACAAUGGGUUAAUCCCCAAAAACUG